GCUACAGUCAUUGGGGAGUAGCCUGUUCCAGAAAAUCGCUGGAAUAUUCGUAUCAACAUGCUCGUUUGAAAUAAAACGUGGUACGAAUGCCUAAAGAACCUAUACGGGUAUAAAUCGGUUGGCAAGACCAUAGACACAUAA
rnacentral:misc_RNA from 1 species